rnacentral:rRNA from 1 species
AAAUUGAAGAGUUUGAUCAUGGCUCAGAUUGAACGCUGGCGGCAGGCCUAACACAUGCAAGUCGAGCGGAAACGAGUUAUCKGAACCUUCGGGGRACGAUAACGGCGUCGAGCGGCGGACGGGUGAGUAAUGCCUAGGAAAUUGCCCUGAUGUGGGGGAUAACCAUUGGAAACGAUGGCUAAUACCGCAUGAUGCCUACGGGCCAAAGA